CCUACGGGAGGCUGCAGUGGGGAAUAUUGCACAAUGGGCGCAAGCCUGAUGCAGCCAUGCCGCGUGUAUGAAGAAGGCCUUCGGGUUGUAAAGUACUUUCAGCGAGGAGGAAGGCAUUGUGGUUAAUAACCGCAGUGAUUGACGUUACUCGCAGAAGAAGCACCGGCUAACUCCGUGCCAGCAGCCGCGGUAAUACGGAGGGUGCAAGCGUUAAUCGGAAUUACUGGGCGUAAAGCGCACGCAGGCGGUCUGUCAAGUCGGAUGUGAAAUCCCCGGGCUCAACCUGGGAACUGCAUUCGAAACUGGCAGGCUAGAGUCUUGUAGAGGGGGGUAGAAUUCCAGGUGUAGCGGCGAAAUGCGUAGAGAUCUGGAGGAAUACCGGUGGCGAAGGCGGCCCCCUGGACAAAGACUGACGCUCAGGUGCGAAAGCGUGGGGAGCAAACAGGAUUAGAUACCCCGGUAGUC
rnacentral:rRNA from 1 species